UGCAUAUCAGUCAUUACUGCUUGAUGACAAUGUGUUAACAAACUUAAUUAAUACAAGAUACAAAUGUUCAUUGACAUACUUAUUGAUAUUAACUGUUUUUAGUAAAUUGUUCUUGGUAACAAAACUCAAAUGAUUUGUAUCAUUUUUGGGCUGGUCAAAUAAAUCAUGCAUCAGUAAAAUGAAUGCUAUUCCACAUCAGUAUAUGGCUGAAAAUGAAACUCACACAAAUGUAGCACAUAGUUCGGAAACUUGUUGGAAGGUGUAUUGGUCACAAUUUCUAUGUUAAUUAUCUAACUUUAAGCAAAACUGUAGUCCAUCAUGUGCCUACUGUUUUUGUUUGUGUGAAAAUACUGUACAAUAACCACAACAAUGGACUGUACUUUUUGCAUGAACCUGCCCUAACAUAGAUGACUUUCAUUGAGUCUCUAAACCAUGUGCUCUAUUAACUAUGCUGAGACAACAAAUCAACCACGCAAGCUAGGGUCUGGAUAUGCGCUCCUGCCUCUCUUGAAUUGAGACCUUUAG